CAUCAUGAGCUACAAGAGUUGUGUGCUUGACACCCACUCCUUUAGAUCAUUAAUGACUUAGAGGGCAUUUUCAAUGGGGUGCAGAGGCUUGCAUGUGUAAUCCUAUUAAUAGCUAAUGGAAAGGCUCGGACCAAACCUUUGUGUUUAUGGAGUCGGGCAACUCAUCUAGGCAUUUUCAGUGCCUUGCUUUGUGUGUUUAAGCUACAUUAACAAAGAUGUGAUGCUAAGGUGGACAUGUA